rnacentral:rRNA from 1 species
UACGAAGGGGGCUAGCGUUGUUCGGAUUUACUGGGCGUAAAGCGCACGUAGGCGGCUUCUUAAGUCAGGGGUGAAAUCCUGGAGCUCAACUCCAGAACUGCCUUUGAUACUGAGAAGCUUGAGUCCGGGAGAGGUGAGUGGAACUGCGAGUGUAGAGGUGAAAUUCGUAGAUAUUCGCAAGAACACCAGUGGCGAAGGCGGCUCACUGGUCCGGUACUGACGCUGAGGUGCGAAAGCGUGGGGAGCAAGCAGG